rnacentral:ncRNA from 1 species
CUUAAAUGAAGCCAAGCUCAGUGUGAAUUGGGUACGGAAAGCUACAGAUCUUUAUAGGAUGAAGAUGGCUGAGUUGCAUUU